AAGGUAUUGCAGUUCUACAAACUGUCCUUGGAAAUAAAAGAUUACAAGAAUAAGAGACAGGAGGAUGCCCUGCGCAUCCCACAUAAAGCACUUGCACUUGAGUUCUUGUCUCAGACUCUGUUUCGCCAAGAGGCAAGAAGAUGUCUUAGAUCCUGAAGCAACUUGGAUCUUCAACAGCCGAAUGAAUCACUUUUGGAUGGCCAUGCUUGGAGUCUUGGGAGAGUCUUGCUUUUUUCCUUUUAGCAGGAAGCCAUGAGGUGAGCAGCUUUUGUCCAGUGUUCCCUUUGACCAUGAUGUUGGAC